rnacentral:ncRNA from 16 species
GCCGAUGAAGAGCGAGCCCGGCCCUGAGGAGAUGAUGAAAGCUACCACUUCUGAGG